rnacentral:lncRNA from 1 species
UGGGAAAAUUUUCUGGUUGUUUUGCAGGUGAGGGUUUGGGUGGAUUGCAUUCUCCCUUCACACACACACACACACUUUGUGCACCUUUUGAGUGAGGCCCUAUACACGGGUCUGAGUGUAACUUAGAAUUAGAGGAGUUGUGUAGCGGUGUCACUCUAGGAUGUACUUCCUGUCUGGCUAUCAUGAGAACUCCAGCUAGAGUUUGUCCUCUUCACUUGUGUCUCCGCAUCUAGUUGAUUACUCAACUGUUGUGGAAAUGCUAUGAUGGGGACCAUAGCUUUAUUGACCUAUGAUCUUUAGGCUCAGGGAACCAUCCUUGUGAGGUUGCAUGUACC